rnacentral:rRNA from 2 species
UCCUCGAUUCAGCGGCGGACGGGUGAGUAAUGCCUAGGAAUCUGCCUAGUAGUGGGGGACAACGUUUCGAAAGGAACGCUAAUACCGCAUACGUCCUACGGGAGAAAGUGGGGGAUCUUCGGACCUCACGCUAUUAGAUGAGCCUAGGUCGGAUUAGCUAGUUGGUAGGGUAAAGGCCUACCAAGGCGACGAUCCGUAACUGGUCUGAGAGGAUGAUCAGUCACACUGGAACUGAGACACGGUCCAGACUCCUACGGGAGGCAGCAGUGGGGAAUAUUGGACAAUGGGCGAAAGCCUGAUCCAGCCAUGCCGCGUGUGUGAAGAAGGCCUUCGGGUCGUAAAGCACUUUAAGUUGGGAGGAAGGGCUCAUAGCGAAUACCUGUGAGUUUUGACGUUACCAACAGAAUAAGCACCGGCUAACUUCGUGCCAGCAGCCGCGGUAAUACGAAGGGUGCAAGCGUUAAUCGGAAUUACUGGGCGUAAAGCGCGCGUAGGUGGCUUGAUAAGUUGGAUGUGAAAUCCCCGGGCUCAACCUGGGAACUGCAUCCAAAACUGUCUGGCUAGAGUGCGGUAGAGGGUAGUGGAAUUUCCAGUGUAGCGGUGAAAUGCGUAGAUAUUGGAAGGAACACCAGUGGCGAAGGCGACUACCU